UCUCCGUAGGUGAACCUGCGGAGGGAUCAUUACAGAGUUCAUGCCCUACCGGGUAGAUCUCCCACCCUAUGUUAUUAUUACUUUGUUGCUUUGGCGGGCCGUUAGGCUCCGGCCCGACUACCGGCCCCGGCUGGUAAGCGCCCGCCAGAGGACCCAAAACCCCGAAUAUUAGUGUCGUCUGAGUACUAUAUAAUAGUUAAAACUUUCAACAACGGAUCUCUUGGUUCUGGCUUCGAUGAAGAACGCAGC
rnacentral:misc_RNA from 1 species